UCUGUCAGUCAGGCAGGUGCGGGCGGCUAGCAGCUUCGUGUUCCCGCCCCGCGAGCCGCCCCGGGACAGAGGCGCGCUAGGAGCGCGUGCGCAGCGGUGUCCGCGCGAGUCCCAGCCCUGGGUCAGUCAGUCAGGUGCUGGCGGCUCGGAGGGGAUUCUGAGCGGACGUGGCGGCUGCGGGACGGGCCGCCCACCAGUUGAACGCUGAAGGCUGAGGCGGCUGAGGAGGAAAAUUGGCAUAUUAAAGAUGCUCAUACCAAGUGGAACAAAUGACUUAUUUUCACUGACCAGGUACUGUAUCCUGAAGGAGAGAGAGAUACCUGCUCAUCUGUGACACUGGGCACGUGCUACUGGAGUGUACUUUUUCCAGCACUGAUAAGCAAUGAAGGUUGAGACAACAAAGGCCCCUUGGGGGCUGAGGCCUCUUACGACUUAUUCCCCUGAGAGUUUGCACGGCUGGACAAGGAAUGUGCUAUCUGUAACUGUGUGUCUUGGAUCCCCAGUCUAUUUGGCCACCAAGGACACCCUGGUAAGUGCACACUCUGAAUAGCAGAGACCAGAGAGAAUGUUCUCACUAGUCAUAAAACUAAGCUGUUAGGACACAGAACAAAAUGAAAGGAAAAACCUCAUUCAGUUUUUCUUAUAUGCACAUUAACAGCUUAGGCUAAGUCUUGCAUCUCUUGGAGCCACACUAAUAUGUAGAAGGGAUGUGCUUCAGGAAUGGGGAGGUGUGUUGCUUUACAGUGUACCUUGUUGCACAGAAGUUUUCUUGAGGUUGGCAGGUGACCUAGUGUCAAUUUAACCUGUUCUGUGACCAACUUAUCCUAAUAUGGGACUCUUUGAGUUAGGUGGCAAACACUCUAAUAGCUUUUAAAUGCUUCAUCCAGGCCCACCAGUUUUGUAGCUUUGGCUUCCAAGAUGUCCCUUAGCAAUAGCCUUUACCUCAUGUGUGCAUUAUCCCACAGCAAAGUUUGUCUAAACAGACAAUGGUCUGAUGAGAACUAUGAACUCACCAGUCUGGAGUCUGGCUUGAACAACAGGCUUAUAGAGCCUAUACCUGAAUUCUGCCCUAUGGUAAUUCCUUUUUAUGACAAAUGACACAAAAGACAGAGAAAAAGAAAAACAAAGACCAUCUCUGGGAGUAAUGGGUCAGAAAACAAAAAUUACUCUACCAAAUUUUUACCAAGAGUCUCCAAGCCCAAGGAACUAGUUCCACAUUAUCUUCUCCUGCUAAUC